rnacentral:ncRNA from 1 species
UGACGAUAAGAGCACACCUUCCGAAAGGAUGGGCCGCAAAGUCACGGGUCUAAAGCGAUUUGCCAGGAUUGCCGGACUGCCGAA